rnacentral:tRNA from 1 species
GCCUUCGCGGUGUAGUGGUCAGCACGCUCGACGUGUAACCGAGAGGUCCGUGGUUCGAUUCCCGGCGAAGGCG